CUCAAAGAUUAAGCCAUGCAUGUCUAAGUGGAGUGUUAUACAGCGAAACUGCGAACGGCUCAUUACAACAGAUAUAAUUUACUAGUUCUUGAUCCUAUAUGGAUAACUGCGGUAAUUCUGGAGCCAAUACAUGCAUCAAGCUUCGGCCUUCGGGUUCGGAGUGCAAUUAUUGGAGCAAAACCAGUCUCGUACUGUUUGCUAACUCUGGAUAAUUCUGCUUAUCGCAUGGUCUUGUACCGGCGAAGUUUCUUUCAAGUAUCUGCUUUAUCAACUAUCGUUGGUAGUUUAUUGGACUACCAUGGUGUUGACGGGUAACGGAGAAUCAGGGUUUGACUCCGGAGAGGGAGCCUUAGAAACGGCUACCAUGUCUAAGGAUAGCAGCAGGCGCGAAAAUUACCCAAUAUCAAUUCGAUGAGGUAGUGACGAGAAAUAACGAGAUCGUUCUCUUUGAGGUCGAUUAUUGGAAUGAGUACAAUCCAGAAAUUUUAACGAGUAUCUACGAGAGGGCAAGUCUGGUGCCAGCAGCCGCGGUAAUUCCAGCUCUCGUAAUGUAUAGAAUUAUUGUUGCGAUUAAAAAGUUCGUAGUUGGAUUGUCACGCGGGCAUGGGUCCACCUUCGUGGUGCGUACUCAAUGUUCGCAUUUUGUUGGUUUUCGCGGCGUUGUUUCGGCAGCGUCCGUGAUGCCAGCAGGAUUACUUUGAACGGCUCAAGUGCUCAAAGCGAGUCUUAUGACUGAAUACCGGUGCAUGGAAUAAUGGAACAAGGUUGCGGCCGAGUUUUAUUGGUUUUGUCGGCUGAAACAAUGGUUAACAGGAACAGCCGGGGGCAUUCGUAUCGCUGCGCGAGAGGUGAAAUUCGUGGACCGUAGCGAGACGCCCGACAGCGAAGGCAUUUGCCAAGAGUGUUUUCAUUAAUCAAGAACGAAAGUCAGAGGUUCGAAGGCGAUUAGAUACCGCCCUAGUUCUGACCGUAAA
rnacentral:rRNA from 1 species